rnacentral:misc_RNA from 1 species
UCGCCCCUCAAGCCCGGCUUGUUGUUGGACGCGGCGGUCGCCUUUGGUGGCCCCGCCCGUCUCAAAGAUAAUGACGGCGUCUGCGAGGACCCCUGUACACUGAGCUCACGGGCACUUCUUCCACAG